GCCCGGAUGGCGGAAUGGUAGACGCGAUCGUUUCAUAAGCGAUUUCCCCCCACGGGAGUACGGGUUCGAAUCCCGUUCCGGGCG
rnacentral:tRNA from 1 species